rnacentral:sRNA from 1 species
ACGUGAGCGGCAGCGGUUUUGCCCACGC